ACUUCUAUAGCUUAACGGAAAAGCGUUCCGCUACGAACGGAUAGAUUGGGGGUUCGAAUCCCUCUAGAAGUU
rfam:Cellulophaga phage phi38:1, complete genome.